rnacentral:rRNA from 1 species
GACGAACGCUGGCGGCGUGCUUAACACAUGCAAGUCGAACGGAAAGGCCCUGCUUUUGUGGGGUGCUCGAGUGGCGAACGGGUGAGUAACACGUGAGUAACCUGCCCUUGACUUUGGGAUAACUUCAGGAAACUGGGGCUAAUACCGGAUAGGAGCUCCUGCUGCAUGGUGGGGGUUGGAAAGUUUCGGCGGUUGGGGAUGGACUCGCGGCUUAUCAGCUUGUUGGUGGGGUAGGGGCUUACCAAGGCUUUGACGGGUAGCCGGCCUGAGAGGGUGACCGGCGACAUGGGGACGGAGAGACGGCCCAGACGCCGACGGGAGGCAGGAGUGGGGAAGAGUGCAGAAGGGGCGGAAGACGGAGGCAGCGACGCCGGGUGGGGGAUGACGGCCGUCGGGUGGUAAACGCCUGGCACCAGCGAAGAAGGGGUUAUGACGGUAGAUGGAGAAGAAGCACCGGAUAACUACGUG